rnacentral:rRNA from 1 species
GAGGAAAAGAAACCAACAGGGAUUGCCUUAGUAGCGGCGAGUGAAGCGGCAAAAGCUCAAAUUUGAAAUCUGGCACCUUCGGUGUCCGAGUUGUAAUUUGAAGAUUGUAACCUUGGGGUUGGCUCUUGUCUAUGUUUCUUGGAACAGGACGUCACAGAGGGUGAGAAUCCCGUGCGAUGAGAUGCCCAAUCCUAUGUAAGGUGCUUUCGAAGAGUCGAGUUGUUUGGGAAUGCAGCUCUAAGUGGGUGGUAAAUUCCAUCUAAAGCUAAAUAUUGGCGAGAGACCGAUAGCGAACAAGUACAGUGAUGGAAAGAUGAAAAGAACUUUGAAAAGAGAGUGAAAAAGUACGUGAAAUUGUUGAAAGGGAAGGGUUUGAGAUCAGACUCGAUAUUUUGUGAGCCUUGCCUUCGUGGCGGGGUGACCCGCAGCUUAUCGGGCCAGCAUCGGUUUGGGCGGUAGGAUAAUGGCGUAGGAAUGUGACUUUGCUUCGGUGAAGUGUUAUAGCCUGCGUUGAUGCUGCCUGCCUAGACCGAGGACUGCGAUUUUAUCAAGGAUGCUGGCAUAAUGAUCCCAAACCGCCCGUC